rnacentral:rRNA from 1 species
AGAACGAACGCUGGCGGCAUGCCUAACACAUGCAAGUCGAACGAGACCUUCGGGUCUAGUGGCGCACGGGUGCGUAACGCGUGGGAAUCUGCCCUUAGGUUCGGAAUAACAGUUAGAAAUGACUGCUAAUACCGGAUAAUGACGUAAGUCCAAAGAUUUAUCGCCUAGGGAUGAGCCCGCGUAAGAUUAGCUAGUUGGUGGGGUAAAGGCCUACCAAGGCUACGAUCUUUAGCUGGUCUGAGAGGAUGAUCAGCCACACUGGGACUGAGACACGGCCCAGACUCCUACGGGAGGCAGCAGUGGGGAAUUUGGACAAUGGGGGCAACCCUGAUCCAGCCAUUCCGCGUGAGUGAAGAAGGCCUUCGGUUGUAAGCUCUUUGUCGGAACGAACGGUAGUGUGAAUAGCGCUGCCUACUGACGGUACCGGAAGAAUAAGCGACCGGCUAACUACGUGCCAGCAGCCGC